rnacentral:lncRNA from 1 species
GGUGAACUCAGUAAUUAUUCAAUUGUGAUUAGGCAUAGCAGAGGAGUAAGAGCAUCUAAGUUGCUCAAUUAUGAUCACAUAAAGUAGCGUUUACCAAAUCCAACACAUGCAUUUCAUAUUAAAGGUUUAAAAUAUUUGGAUGCAGAAUAACACAACCCCUUUCGCUUCUCUCGACCACUCGAGUCUCUUCUUAUCAUCCCAUGGCGUACUUCUGUGUCCAGCUUCGUGCAGUUGACUCGUACUUGGACUUGUCCGUUUUGUACAUGUGAGCUAUCUCCGGCACAAGAGGAUCAUCUGGGUUCGGGUCCGUCAACAACGAGCAAAUUGACAACAAAACCUGUAUCCAAAGCAAUCAAUCAUCAUCAUCAUCUCUCGCUCAUUAACAAUGGUUGUGUUAAUUGAUAGUAAACCUUGGAUACGGUAAGAGCAGGGCUCCAUUGUUCUUUAAGGAUAUCAAGGCAGAUGCUUCCGUUGCUGUUGAUGUUUGGGUGGUACACCCUUGUCUUAAAAGACACCUGCGAUAAUCAGACGCACACAUUCGGUAAUAAACGAGAUGUCCAUCAAACUUAAAGAUGAUUUAGUUACUUGAAAGAAAACAAAAAGAACAAACCUUUGGUGGCUUGAAGGGAUAAUCAGGAGGAAAGUGAAUGGAAACCAAAAAGACUCCUCCGGCAUAUGGACUAUCAGGAGGUCCCAUGAUAGUUGCUUGCCAAUGGAACAUGUCUUCAGCCACAGGACCUACAACACGAAAAAAAACAUUACAAAUUAGACUCAAAUCUCUUCACCAAACCCAGACCUCGCAACCACAUCAAUAGAGACAUAUCAGAAGCAGGAGACACUACAAAUAAAUCAAAACUAUGCUGAGUUCAAGAUUCUCUAUUUGAUGAAUUAUUUACAGUACAUGGCAAAAAAGAUUCAUGCAUAUAACACAAACACCAAACGGCGUCGAUUUAAAAGAGAUCCUAACAAAUCAAAGCUUAACCAUGCAAAAUUCAGAAGCCUAAUUAGGAUACAGAUUAAACAAAGUAUUGAAGUGGCUUACUUCAAAAGUAGUGAAAGUAAGGAUCUUUAGGUCGGUUAUUACCUGCGCUGCAGUUAGAAGGAGGAUCCUUCUGCAAAUCCUUGAGCUCUUUCAAAAUCCUCUUCGAAGCCAUGGAUCAGAUACGAAAAAACCUGCAGACAAGCCGACACAACUGAUAUUAUGAACAGGAGAGGGGUUAAAACCUUAAAGCAAUAACACAAGAGGAGAAGAUCACGAACCAAGGGAAAAGCGAUCAGAAAGCGAAGAGGACGAUGCGGUGCAAAGAGAGAAAAACGAAUGAGAUCCUCGCUCUCUCCCUACUUACCUUUUCUUUAUAAAUGUAUUCGAAACGGCAACCCGUAAGGGCAUCUCCAUCCCUACUCCAUUUUUUCCUCUAAAAUGGAAUAAAAGUGAUUAUGGAGUAAAGAAUGCUCCAACCCAACCCCAUAUCUCACUCCAUAAAUGGAGUAAUCUAUUUUUUGUUUGUUCAUCACUCCAUUAUAGAGUGGGAAAUGGAGUAGGAUUAGAGCAAUUUUACUCAAUUUUCACUUUUACUCCAUUUUGGAGGAAAAAUGGUGUUUUACAUUGGAGAUGCUCUAAAAUGCCUAAUUUUUUUGCUGAGUUUUCUGUACAUUUUUGAUAUUUGUUUUAAUGAGAUUUACUCGAAGGAUCUAUUUAGGCAGAUAGCUAAAAUUUUGAAUUUAGCUAGUCUAACAUUUGAUCCUUACCAAUAACCAUAAUAUUAAAGCUAUUAAUCUAAGAUUUGAUUUUUUUUUCUGAGUUUUCAGUACAUUUUUAUAUUUGUUUGGAACUGGGCCGAGAUCAUAGGUUUUUUUUGUACACUUAUAAAAUGCAUAUUUUCUAUUCGAUUAGAGUUUUAGGGUUUUUCAUCUCCGCCUUUCGACGAGCUCUAAAUUGGUAAGCUUUUCACCUAUCUAAUUUCAGAUCUAUGUUGUUAUCUCUUCUGUUUUCCCUAAUCUACAACUAUCAUUGUACACUUAGAGCAUCUCCAACCCCUAGCUAUUUUCACCUCUAUAUACUAUAAUAGAGGUAAAGUGCUUCAUCCCAUCUCUAUUUCCACCUCUAAAAUAUUUUUUCCUCUAUUUAUAGAAGAAAAAAUAGCAUUCCUCUAUUAUAGAGUUAUACUUUUUUAUUUUCAAAAUAGUCUUUUAACUUUCAAAUUUUUAUAGUUGUAACCAAAAUAAUUAUAUUUAUAAAGAAAUACAGCUUUUUAGGAGUAUAAUAACAUUUUGUAUUUACAUAAUAGUCUUUUAACAAAACUUUAGUUUAAAAAAAUUCAUAAGUUUAUGAAAAUAUUUUAAAAGUUAAAAAUAAAUAGGGUUAGUUAUCAACUUUUAUAAACAAAAUGUAUCUUUUGUAAAAUUAAAAUACAAUCUUUUGAGAAUAUUCCUUUAUAGAGGCAAAAAUAGAGAAAUACAUUGGAGAGAAAUUCAUCUCUAUUUUAGAGAUGCUCUAUUUUAGAAGUAAAAAUAGGAGAAUACAUUGGAGAUGGUCUUAUAAUCAGGAAAUGGUACCUAACGUCGUAAAACCUUCUGGCAGCAGAAACGAUUAUCAGUCUUUCACUCUGAAAAAUCAAUUGUCUAUCAUUGCCAUAUCUGAUCCAAAUGCCACCCAGUCUUGCUUCUCUCUAGUGGUUAGAGCCAGUUCUUCCAGAGAUCCUCAAGAUUUAAUCUUCUCUUUUUUUUUAAUUUCAUUUGAUGCUUUAUACUUAGCUACUAAUUACUAAUAGCUGAAUCGAAGAUAUAAACAUAUAGAUAUUUUUUUGGAUCCAAAUACAAAGUUUUAACUGGGCCGACUAUCUGAUCUCCGGCCUUUGUAGCUCUUGUACACAUAUAAAAUAUGUAAUUUCUAUGCGAUUAGGGUUUUUCAUCUCCAUGUGUACAAAUUUUGCCUCUCGCCGAACUAAGCUAAAUUUGUAAGUUGUUCUCAAACAUAUUUUGUUAUAUUUUUCACCUAUCUAGUGAUUCUACAUAUAUGAUUGUGAUGUUCUAAAGCGAUUAUGUGUGUAUUUCAUGUCAUUGGUUCUUCCGCUUGAUAUUAAAGUUUCAGAUCUCGAUUAUAUUGUUGUUUUUAUGUUGUUAUCUCUUUCUGUUUGUGUUAAUCUACAUAUAUUGUUUCUUAGCUAAAAACAUACACAUAAUCGCUUUAGAACAUCACAAUCAUUUAUGUAAAAUCACUAGAUAGGCGAAAAAUAUAACAAAAUAUGCUGGAAAACAACUUACUAAUUUAGCUGAGAGAAACAAUACAUACAUAAUCGUAGUGUUUGUCCGCCGAACAGAGCUGUUGUUGCUUUCAUUAUGUCAGAAAAUAGAACGUAAAGUUGAAAAACCUUUCAACAUCAGAAAUGAUUAUGAACCCUUCACUCUCAAAAAUAUUUUGGAUGUCAUUGCGAUAUUUGACUCAUAUGCCACUGACUCUUUACCUCUCAUUAGUGGUUAGAUCUGGUUCUUCGAGAGAUCCUCAAAAUGCUCUGGGAUUAGCACAUCUUUUGGAGCAUAUGGUCUCGUUUUCAAGAAAGAGUUUUUGUUGGAUUUGUUAACAAAGGAGCUAAGAGAAACAAUACCUAAUUCGAAGGUGAAGAAAAACUGUUUAGUCGCUGGAUCAAUAUUUACAGUGUAAAGCUUGACGCAGACAGACUAUUUAUUGUCAUAGCUUGUAGCUCUUGUACACAUAUAAAAUGUCCAAUUUCUAUGCGAUUAGGGUUUUUCAUCUCCAUGUGUACAAACUUUGCCUCUCGCCGAACUAAGCUAAAUUGGUAAGUUGUUCUCAAACAUACUUUGUUAUAUUCUUCGCCUAUCUAGUGAUUCAUAGGUGAGUGUGAUGUUCUAAAGCGAUUAUUUUUUUUUUUUUUUUGGACAAAUUUUGAAGAAAGUACGCAAACUGAAACAACGCACAACGAGUAUUAUUGACUAAGGACUUUACAUGGAUGGAUACACCAGUUACUGAAAACUUUUUACUACUUUGAAAGAACUUUUUACUACUAUUCUUUUUCACAGGUUGAGAGAACAUCAACAGUUUUGAGAGACAGACCCGUACAUUCCUCACUUUUUCUAGUUAAAACUUAAAAAUAUCAAAGCAGCAAAAGUGUGCGGCACAUCACAUGAUAUGAAAAGUUUAUAGAAGAAAAAGGUUGUGGUUGUACCGCAACAAAUCACAUUUAUAAGGUUUGAAUUGUUGCUAUAUGAUGUUAUCUAUUUUUUUUUCUGUUAUCUUUGUUGUUGAAAAUUAUGCAUAAGAAAGACUUCUCAAUGGAUUUGAGCUUUUUGCUUUUAUUGCACAUGGUAUGAUUUGGUUGCUUGGAUUCUUUGUCAGUCCUUUAAACCAAUAAUGAAUGUCUUGUUUGUUAUCUUUACUAGAUUGUCCGAGCCUUUCUUUUCUGCAUUGGAUUCGCUCGUUUUCUUAUUAGUAUUAGAACGCAUGUGAAUUCUUACUCCAACUCAGGUCUACUAAAGAGUUGAAAUUCUAGGUGUCCUUUUCAGAAGUUCUGUCAAUGACUUAUCUAAUAUCGACACAGACAAUUUUGUAACGAUAGUAACCCAAUUUUAGCGUGGUGAACUCAGUAAUUAUUCAAUUGUGAUUAGGCAUAGCAGAGGAGUAAGAGCAUCUAAGUUGCUCAAUUAUGAUCACAUAAAGUAGCGUUUACCAAAUCCAACACAUGCAUUUCAUAUUAAAGGUUUAAAAUAUUUGGAUGCAGAAUAACACAACCCCUUUCGCUUCUCUCGACCACUCGAGUCUCUUCUUAUCAUCCCAUGGCGUACUUCUGUGUCCAGCUUCGUGCAGUUGACUCGUACUUGGACUUGUCCGUUUUGUACAUGUGAGCU